rnacentral:rRNA from 1 species
CACGUAGGGAGCAAGCGUUGUCCGGAUUUAUUGGGCGUAAAGCGCUCGUAGGCUGUUCGAUAAGUCGGGUGUGAAACCUCCAGGCUCAACCUGGAGACGCCACCCGAUACUGUCAUGACUAGAGUCCGGUAGGGGAGCGUGGAAUUCCUGGUGUAGCGGUGAAAUGCGCAGAUAUCAGGAGGAACACCAGCGGCGAAGGCGGCGCUCUGGGCCGGUACUGACGCUGAGGAGCGAAAGCGUGGGUAGCAAACAGG